AACGAACGCUGGCGGCAGGCCUAACACAUGCAAGUCGAGCGCUCUCUUCGGAGGGAGCGGCGGACGGGUUAGUAACGCGUGGGAAUAUGCCCAAAGGUACGGAACAACAGUUGGAAACGACUGCUAAUACCGUAUGUGCCCUACGGGGGAAAGAUUUAUCGCCUUUGGAUUAGCCCGCGUUGGAUUAGAUAGUUGGUGAGGUAACGGCUCACCAAGUCAACGAUCCAUAGCUGGUUUGAGAGGAUGAUCAGCAACACUGGGACUGAGACACGGCCCAGACUCCUACGGGAGGCAGCAGUGGGGAAUCUUGGACAAUGGGGGCAACCCUGAUCCAGCCAUGCCGCGUGAACGAUGAAGGCCUUAGGGUUGUAAAGUUCUUUCAGCAGGGAAGAUAAUGACGGUACCUGCAGAAGAAGCCCCGGCUAACUCCG
rnacentral:rRNA from 1 species